rnacentral:lncRNA from 1 species
CUUGCUCUCUUACACCUUUGUUCUCUCACCUCUCACUCACUUCUCUCACUCCUCUCUUCCCCCUCCUUUCUCUGUCUUCUCCUCUCUCUCUCCUCACUCUCUCUCUCUCUCUCUCUCUCUCUCUCUCUCUCUGUCUCUCUGUCUCUGUCUCUCUCUCUCUCUCUCUCUCUCACUCUUUCUACCUUCUCUCUUUCUCCCUGCAUUUCUAUAAUAAAUCUCUUAAACCAUACAGAUUCUCUGCUCCAUCAAUACCCGCUGGGCACCCUGGCCAGAACCCAGUGAAUGAAAUAAUGCUCCCAUAACAUGGUCUCUGCAAGCUCUGCCCUCGAUGACUACAACAUUCUUUCUUUGCCUUUCCCUGUCAAUUCAGCCUGGCACCUACCUCUGUGCUGGCCUCAUGGAAAGCAGCUUUUUUGGUGUGAGUUUGUUCUUCAUCCUCCCUUCAGAUAUUACUGAAGAUAAAUAUUAAUAUAACAGAUAUUGAGUCCACUGGCAGAACACUCAAGCAGUACAACUGGUGUCUAUAGACUGCCGCUUGCAUUUCUUGGGCCCUGGGCACCAACCUCUCCUGAUCAGAGAGAGUGGCUGGGAGUGGAGGCUGGAAUGCUAGUCUGACUUCAAGAUAAGAGAAAGUGUGGCAGGACCCCAAUGGUCCUGGUACCAGGCCUCCUACAUCUUCACCUUAGUUCAUAAUCGAACCAAACAUUUCACUGAGAGAGCAGAGGCAGGGAAACGAAGUUGCCCCGUUUGUGCAGGUCUGACAGUUGGCAGGAAAGAACGUGUCCCCUGCUUACGCCUCCCAGUCCUUCAGAUACUUCUGCCACACACACUGAUCUUCUCACCAUUAAUAUUUCAAAGACUUCACUGCUGCCCAGCAUCCAUUGGUACCCACGGUCAACAGCUGGUUUCCUCUUAUUUUGCUCACACCAGCUUGUCAUCUCCUCGAAGAGGCUUUUAAGACCUCUUUAGAUGAGACCUUGUAGUGAUUAUCUUACAAGUUAUCGUACCAACGAAUGCAGAGGUUCAGAGUAUCAACCAUCAUUGCAUUUUCUGCGAGGGAUUCACAACAAGGAAAGUCUCCCCCAGAGCAAACAAGAUAAACUAUCAAAACAGAGACACAGUUCAAGAAGUCAACUAACUGUUCACAAUAUUUUACCAGAGUCCUUAAGAAUGGAAGAAGUCUACAAAAGAAAGUGAUUAUUAGAAGGAGAGGUAACCUUGGGACUUGGCCAUCACUAGCUCCAACACCAGCCUCAGCCUCUCUCUAACUCCUGUCAGGAGCCUAGCAUAACUGUUUUCUGCGUGACUAUACACAGGAGUGGAUGGAAACAGAAGCAGGUACCCACAGUCAAACAUCAGAUGGAGGUCUGGAGUACCUAUGGAAGAGUUGGAAAUAUCCAAGGGCCAGAAGUAGAUUGGAAACUCCAUAAAAAGACUAAAAGAAUCAACAAACCUGGACCCCUGGGAGCCCUCAGAAUCUGAACACAACCAAAACAAAGAACACAAAAAGGCUGGAACGAGACUCCUCGAGACUCCUCCGCACACAUGUAGCAGACAGGCUGCUGCCCUCUCUGGCCUCAGUGGGAGAGGAUGGGCCUAUUCUGGCAGAGAAUUGAUGUGCCAGGGUGGGGGUGGGGAGGAU